AUGGAGGGGCUAUUUUCUGCGACUUUCGGCGAACUUAUCAGCAGAUGCAUAUCCUUUCUGAUCAACAAAUACUCCACACCGACAUCCUUGUCCAAGGGGGAGAUUCUACAGCACCUAGACCGGAUGUUGCUCCGGGUUCUUAUCACCGUGGAAGAAGCCGAGGGCAGGAGCAUCACGAAUCAGGCAAUGCUUCGGCAACUCAACAGGCUGAGACAAGAUAUGUGCAGAGGCUAUUACUUGCUUGACAAAUUCAGGUACCUUGCACAUGAAGAAGGGAAGGCCAAAGAUCUGGAAGCGAGCCACCACUCCUUUGCCCUGCGUAUAUCCAAUCCAGGCAAGCGUGCUUCCCUGUCUGCUAGCAGCACACAUGGCGAAAAGGAGUUAAGAAAGAUGCUUGAGAAUAUCGAAAACGUUGUCACUGGUAUGCAUGAGUUUGUUGCUUUUCUCAAUAACUACCCUCCAAUUUGUCGUCUUCAACCAUACAACAUGCACCUGGUGAUGGAAACAUGCAUGUUUGGUCGCCAAGUAGAAGUGCAGCGAAUCAUCAGUUUCUUGUUGCAGCGUGAGCCUCCUGGUGAACACAGUCUGGGUGUGGGUAUCCUGCCAAUUGUUGGCCCUGGAAAAGUUGGCAAGAGCACACUUGUUGAGCAUGUUUGCUGCGACAUAAGGGUGCGUGAUCACUUUACUCAAAUUGUGCUCGUUUGUGGAAACAAAUUUAUUCAAGGAGAGCUCUGCACCCUGAGAGAUGGAGGCAUAAUUAAGCAUCAAAAUCAAAAUGGUAUUGCGAGUGAAGAAAAAAUACUUGUUGUGAUUGAGUUGAAUGGGGAAGUUGAUGAGGGGGCGUGGAGAAAGCUUUACUCUGCUUCUACAAGCUUAAUUCCGAGAGGCAGUAAAAUUAUAAUCACGAGCCGAGCGGAGAACAUCACCAAAUUUGGAAAUACACAAGCUCUCUGGUUAAACUUUUUGCCUCGAGAAGCGAGCUGGUACUUCUUCAAGGUGCUCGCGUUUGGAAGCGCAGAUCCCGAAGAGCACCCAAAGCUAGCAUCCAUAGCAAUGGAGAUAUUCGAGGGGUACUUUGGUCUAGAAAUAUUUAAUGACUACACUGGUCCUUUCACAAAUCCAAAACUUAUUGCUGGGUUUCUAAGAGCCAAUGUUAACAUACAACACUGGCGAAGGGUUCUUACAUGUGUUAGGGGGACUAGGCAGAGAAAUGCACUUCAAUUUACUACAACUUCAAGUGGUACUCGGGGGAAGAACCAAUAUCUUUAUAUUCAACGAAUAUCUAAACUCAGUCAGGAUUGUGUGGUUAGUCGUGUUCGGGUACAGCUUGCUCAAGAAGACAUUCCCAAAAUCACGAUGGAUGAAGUCCUUUAUGGAAGCGCGACACCAAAAGGAAGAUUUGAUGCUGUGGUGUGGAAAUCUCACUUGCCGCCACAUUACACUUAUGUAACUAGCUGUGAGAUUUGCGAAUCAAAACUGGCUAACAGGAGCAAGAGUUGCCAGAAGAGGAAGAGUUCGUGUUGA
rnacentral:rRNA from 1 species